UACAGGGGGGGCAAGCGUUGUUCGGAAUUACUGGGCGUAAAGGGUUCGUAGGUGGCUACCUAAGUCAGACGUGAAAUCCCUCAGCUUAACUGGGGAACUGCGUCUGAUACUGGGUGGCUUGAGUGCAGGAGAGGAAUGCGGAAUUCCAGGUGUAGCGGUGAAAUGCGUAGAUAUCUGGAGGAACACCGGUGGCGAAGGCGGCAUUCUGGACCGGCACUGACGCUGAGGAGCGAAAGCGUGGGGAGCGAACAGG
rnacentral:rRNA from 1 species